GACGAACGCUGGCGGCGUGCUUAACACAUGCAAGUCGAACGGAAAGGCCCUGCUUUUGUGGGGUGCUCGAGUGGCGAACGGGUGAGUAACACGUGAGUAACCUGCCCUUGACUUUGGGAUAACUUCAGGAAACUGGGGCUAAUACCGGAUAGGAGCUCCUGCUGCAUGGUGGGGGUUGGAAAGUUUCGGCGGUUGGGGAUGGACUCGCGGCUUAUCAGCUUGUUGGUGGGGUAGUGGCUUACCAAGGCUUUGACGGGUAGCCGGCCUGAGAGGGUGACCGGCCACAUUGGGACUGGGAUACGGCCCAGACUCCUAAGGGAGGCAACAGGGGGGAAUAUUGCACAAUGGGCGGAAGGCUGAUGCAGCAACGCCGCGUGCGGGAUGACGGCCUUCGGGUUGUAAACCGCUUUCGCCUGUGACGAAGCGGGAGUGACGGUAAUGGGUAAAGAAGCACCGGCUAACUACGUG
rnacentral:rRNA from 1 species